AUCAGGAGGCACGGCCUCUCUGCUCCUCGCCAUCUCCCCACAGCACCCUUUUCUUUUCUUUUUUUUUGUAUAUUUUUUAAAGCCUCAUGGAAGGUUUUACUUGUAGAUUAACUUUCAAAGCGUAAGGAGUCAGAAUGGUUGACGUCAUGAGAAAAAUAUGUGGAGCUGAUUUCGACGAGAAGUGAAGAACCCAGAGCAAGAAAGCGGUUCUCACCCCUGAGCCCAGGGAAUUGGCAGCAUCUGGGUUUCAGAAGAGACAGCGCCUCUGAGUUGUCUUGAAGCGACGCUCUGCUAAACUCCUGUUCAUCUGGCUACAAGAUCUGAAUACUGUGACCACCAACUUGUUGAACCAGGACUCUGAGGCUGAUAUGCAAUGUCACUUCCAACAUUAAUCAGAUACUGCAUUUAAGUGCUGGUAUCAGUGGUUUGAUUUUCAGCAAAUGUGACAGUGGCCUUUGCAGUGGUCAGCUUCGGGCUUUGAACUCUCAGAGGAGGAAGGGGGAAAAAUUCAACACACCACCUUCUUGGUUGCAGCCUCAGAGAAAC